rnacentral:piRNA from 1 species
GCCUAGGAAACUUGGACGGAACAGU